UGCAUCCCUUGACGGUACCUAAUCAGAAAGCCACGGCUAACUACGUGCCAGCAGCCGCGGUAAUACGUAGGUGGCAAGCGUUAUCCGGAAUUAUUGGGCGUAAAGCGCGCGUAGGCGGUUUUUUAAGUCUGAUGUGAAAGCCCACGGCUCAACCGUGGAGGGUCAUUGGAAACUGGAAAACGUGAGUGCAGAAGAGGAAAGUGGAAUUACAUGUGGAGAGGGGAAAAGAGAAGAGAUAUGGAGGAAAACCAGUGGCGAAGGGGAAUUUCUGGUCUGCAAAAGACGCUGAUGUGCGAAAGCGUGGGGAUC
rnacentral:rRNA from 1 species